ACCUAAUAGAUACCCGGGUAGUCCACGCUGUAAACGAUGAGUGCUAGGUGUUAGGGGUUUCGUAUACCCUUGGUGCCGAAAGUUAAACAACAGUAAAGCACUCCGCCUGGGGAGGUACGCUCGCAAGAGUGAAACUCAAAGGAAUUGACGGGGACCCGGCACAAGCAGUGGAGUAUGUGGUUUAAAUUCGAAGCAACGCGAAGAACCUUACCAGGUCUUGACAUCCCUCUGAAUGUCCUAGAGAUAGGGCAGGCCUUCGGUACGAGAGGAGGACAGGUGGUGCAUGGUUGUCGUCAGCUCGUGUCGUGAGAUGUUGGGUUAAGUCCGCAACGAGCACAACCCUUCGACUUUAGUUACCUACGCACUAACGUUAGGGUCGACUCUAGAGUGACUGCCGGUGACAACCGGAGAAGGUGGGAGUGACGUCAAAUCAUCAUG
rnacentral:rRNA from 1 species